rnacentral:rRNA from 1 species
GAUGAACGCUGGCGGCGUGCCUAAUACAUGCAAGUCGAGCGAACGGACGAGAAUCUUGCUUCUCUGAUGUUAGCGGCGGACGGGUGGGUAACACGUGGAUAACCUACCUAUAAGACUGGGAUAACUUCGGGAAACCGUAGCUAAUACCGGAUAAUAUUUUGAACCGCAUGGUUCAAAAGUGAAAGACGGUCUUGCUGUCACUUAUAGAUGGAUCCGCGCUGCAUUAGCUAGUUGGUAAGGUAACGGCUUACCAAGGCAACGAUGCAUAGCCGACCUGAGAGGGUGAUCGGCCACACUGGAACUGAGACACGGUCCAGACUCCUACGGGAGGCAGCAGUAGGGAAUCUUCCGCAAUGGGCGAAAGCCUGACGGAGCAACGCCGCGUGAGUGAUGAAGGUCUUCGGAUCGUAAAACUCUGUUAUUAGGGAAGAACAUAUGUGUAAGUAACUGUGCACAUCUUGACGGUACCUAAUCAGAAAGCCACGGCUAACUACGUG